rnacentral:rRNA from 1 species
CAACUAUUACCGGGUUAGCUUGUCGGAGCCGGGUAUGUUCUCUUCCGGCCGACAGAGGGAGCUCUCAGCUCUUCUAUCACGCUCAGAAGAAGAAGGAGGGACGAGGCUGGCUCUAGGCGAGGUCACCUGAGCUAAUCCCAAUCCCAAACGGAGAGCCUAGCACUCCACCCAACGAUGUAGGUGGAACAAGGAGACUAAGGCCAUCUUAGUUGGUGGGCUGCUGAAUUAAAGGUGGCGGCCACGCCGGAGACGAAACAGCUUCUACGACCCGCCUGACAUGCCGCUGGAGGGCGGCGGGUGGAGCCGCCGGCCGCUGCUGCUGUUCGGCUGCCGGAGGCAGACCAGCUCGCGGUGGUUCUACCGCGGCGGCUGGGAGGCGUUCGGGAGGCGCUGGAAGCGGGGAGGGUGCAGGGAGGAGUCCUUGGUCGUGGGGGCGGGGCGGCGAGGGUUCGGGUCGCGGCGCGUCGGCGGCGUGGGGGAGGGGGAGCGGAGGCGGUGGUGGUGGUGGUGGUGGCGCCGGAGGAAGGUGGGGCGGGAGCAGCGGCACGUCAGGUGGCACGAGCUCCUCAUGCUGGGGCGGUCCGGGUUGCUGAUGCUCCUGAUGGCGUUCCUCUUCGAGUUCGCCCGGUUCCUGCGGCUCUACUUCUUCCUCGAGCUGGCCUCCGCGGCGCUCCUGGUCCUCUCCCUCUCCCUCGCGCUCGACUCCCUCCGGCUCCGGGCGGAGGCGCUCCUCGUCAGGUCCCGGAGGAGGGAGUUGUAUAGGCCGCUCCUCCGGACCUUCUCCUCCCGGCGGUACUCGCCGCGACCGCCGCCGCGAUGAGGAGUCUCCCGGAGCAGAGGCGGGGUGCCGCUACGGUCACCGAAGAGGUAGGGUCCGAGGAGGAGGAGACCUAACCCGGACCCGCGACCGCCGGUCUACUGGCGACGGGUCUCUUACUACCGGUUCUACCCCACCUUCCUUCCGGUCCCCGAACCGUUCGUCCUCGUCCCUUAGUGUCGCGGAGACCAACGAUCCUUCUGGCUGGCCUCCCGUCCCCAAUAACAGCUACUCUCGUCAAGGUCCUCCGGGUCUAGUCGGUUGAAACUUCCGGUCGGGUGGUCUCAUCACGAAGACGCGUUAUACUAACCAGGCCCGCUCCAACUGCUGCUCGACCUUCUGCUCUAACGGAGCCUUACGAGGUUCAAACCCCGACACAAUGCGCACGACUAUAAGCUCUAGUGGGUCCGUUUGAAGGGGCGCCUGCUUCGUCACUCCUAGAAACACGACAAGCUCUCCUGUCUUCUGAGCUGGUUCCGCAACCAACUUGACCUUCCCGCGAUGAAACCGCCUGCGUAUCACGUGCGCUGGAAGAAGCUGCUCCCUUCCAAACUCUCCUUGCUCGAACGAGGCUACGGGCCCCUUCAUGGUCCCAAGCUGAUUUGGAAUUAUUCGUCUGAUUUCUUGACCUGCAACCACAGAGCCUACAUUGAAUUAGAUCUCGUACUUGCGUCACAAAAAGAAAGGAAAACUCCUGUCAAAUGUUGUACAACCACUUACAACCGGAUAACGGUGAAUAACAACAUCUCAACAAUAAUAUGAGUUGAAGACCCACAUCUCCACUCAUAGACGUAGCGUAGCGGCAGAAGGAAAAAAAAAACUUACGCGUAGUCCAUAAGAACAAUUAAGAAUGUUUUAUUUAAGACAGUGGGUAACUUAAACCGUUAUAACUAGGGAGUUCGGGUUUAUAGGUGGAGAAACCG